GUAUUGAAUUGAAUAAUCUAACUCCUUUGACAGCAAUGAAACAAAGAAUGAAGAAUUCAAAUUUGAAUUAAGCGUCAAAACAUCGUGCUAUAAUCGCUAUAACAUUUAAUGGAUAAAACAAAUUUCUGCCUCCAUUCCUUCAGUUGUCUUCAUAAAAUAAUUAAUUUACAUAAAUAUUCAUUUAUCUCUGUAUCUAAGCAAAGCCAAAGUUUUAUCUCAUUUCUUGCGCUGUACGUAAGAUGUACACAUCUUAAGAUUGGCGAUCGAAACAAGCGAGCAACGACAAUGACUACACGUGACCUUUGCACUUCCAAAUAACGUUAUCAUAAACCCUACAUAUUCUCGACUUGAACCGAGGCAAUGGCGGACGAUCACGAAGAAAGUACGAUCGAACAGAGGAGACGAGACAUGAUCGAAGCUGGAGCGUUUGAAUAGAAUAAAAUUUGAAGAAGGCACGUGGCACGUGACGUCGCUGAUUUUCCUGCUACUUGUACUCUAUUUCGUCCUGGCCCGUUCCACCAUCGUCUCCUUGUUACUCUUUACUCGUGCAAAUUCCGCUCGUUUCACCUUUUAUUCCGGAGGCGACGCGUGUCCCGAAUGUCGCGCAACGAGGAUCACCGGCUGAGACGAAUUCAUUCUGAUCGAUACGAGAGCGUCCGUGAAAAACACUGAAUGAAUAUUUUACGUUGAAACGUAGGCAGAAAGCUAACGCCCACGACGCGUUCAAAUCGAAAGUGACGCCAAGAGGAUCGAAUAGAAAUUAUGAGAACCUCACCGGAGACGGAAUUUUCUUUUCAGUCAUUGUAGCACCGAUUGAAUUUAAUGGUUCGAUUAAGAUGAGAAAUAGCAGACAAGAUAGUGCCUUAGUGUUUGGCGAAGGGUAUUUGGGAAAUCGAGGUUAGAAUGAAGAACAUUCUUGGAAUGGAAUAAUGUAUAUGUCGUAUAUGAAUAGAGAUACCAAUCGUAACAGAGCUUAGUUUGUAUAAUUUUUACAUGUAGAGUUUUCACAUAAUACUUCCAUGUAUAUGUCACUAAACUUGUUUAGAAAUAACGCAUGUAUGUACACAGAGAUAUC
rnacentral:misc_RNA from 1 species